GGCGCAUUCGCUAGUGGCAGGCCGCCUGUCUUUCCAACAGGAAACGACGGUUCAAUUCCGUCAUGCGCUA
rnacentral:tRNA from 1 species